rnacentral:rRNA from 1 species
UACGGAGGGUGCGAGCGUUAUCCGGAAUUACUGGGCUUAAAGGGUGCGUAGGCGGCUUUGUAAGUCAGGAGUGAAAGCUUGCGGCUCAACCGUAAAAUUGCUUCUGAUACUGCAUGGCUAGAAUUAGGAUGAGGUCAGCGGAAUGUGGCAUGUAGCGGUGAAAUGCAUAGAUAUGCCGUAGAACACCAAUUGCGAAGGCAGCUGACUGGACCUGGAUUGACGCUGAGGCACGAAAGCGUGGGGAGCGAACAGG